rnacentral:rRNA from 1 species
UACGUAGGGUGCGAGCGUUGUCCGGAAUUAUUGGGCGUAAAGAGCUCGUAGGCGGCUUGUCACGUCUGCUGUGAAAACCCGAGGCUCAACCUCGGAACUGCAGUGGGUACGGGCAGACUAGAGUGCGGUAGGGGAGAACGGAAUUCCUGGUGUAGCGGUAAAAUGCACAGAUAUCAGGAGGAACACCGAUGGCGAAGGCAGUUCUCUGGGCCGUAACUGACGCUGAGGAGCGAAAGCGUGGGGAGCGAACAGG